rnacentral:rRNA from 1 species
GGGUUGUGAGGUUAAGCGAACAAGCGUACACGGUGGAUGCCCUGGCAGUCAGAGGCGAUGAAGGACGUGCUAAUCUGCGAAAAGCGCCGGUAAGGUGAUAUGAACCGUUAUAACCGGCGAUGUCCGAAUGGGGAAACCCGGUGCACUUCGGUGCAUCAUCGUUAGCUGAAUACAUAGGCUAACGAGGCGAACCGGGGGAACUGAAACAUCUAAGUACCCCGAGGAAAAGAAAUCAACCGAGAUUCCCCCAGUAGCGGCGAGCGAACGGGGAACAGCCCAGAGCCUGAAUCAGCUUGUGUGUCAGUGGAACGGUCUGGAAAGGCCGGCGAUACAGGGUGACAGCCCCGUACACGAAGGCACACAGGCUGUGAGCUCGAUGAGUAGGGCGGGACACGUGAUAUCCUGUCUGAAGAUGGGGGGACCAUCCUCCAAGGCUAAAUACUCCUGACUGACCGAUAGUGAACCAGUACCGUGAGGGAAAGGCGAAAAGAACCCCGGCGAGGGGAGUGAAACAGAACCUGAAACCGUGUACGUACAAGCAGUGGGAGCCUUCGUAAGAGGGUGACUGCGUACCUUUUGUAUAAUGGGUCAGCGACUUAUAUUCUGUAGCAAGGUUAACCGUAUAGGGGAGCCGAAGGGAAACCGAGUCUUAACCGGGCGUUAAGUUGCAGGGUAUAGACCCGAAACCCGGUGAUCUAGCCAUGGGCAGGUUGAAGGUUGGGUAACACUAACUGGAGGACCGAACCGACUAAUGUUGAAAAAUUAGCGGAUGACCUGUGGCUGGGGGUGAAAGGCCAAUCAAACCGGGAGAUAGCUGGUUCUCCCCGAAAGCUAUUUAGGUAGCGCCUCGUGAACUCAUCUCCGGGGGUAGAGCACUGUUUCGGCUAGGGGGCCAUCCCGGCUUACCAACCCGAUGCAAACUGCGAAUACCGGAGAAUGUUAUCACGGGAGACACACGGCGGGUGCUAACGUCCGUCGUGAAGAGGGAAACAACCCAGACCGCCAGCUAAGGUCCCAAAGUCAUGGUUAAGUGGGAAACGAUGUGGGAAGGCCCAGACAGCCAGGAUGUUGGCUUAGAAGCAGCCAUCAUUUAAAGAAAGCGUAAUAGCUCACUGGUCGAGUCGGCCUGCGCGGAAGAUGUAACGGGGCUAAACCAUGCACCGAAGCUGCGGCAGCGACACUGUGUGUUGUUGGGUAGGGGAGCGUUCUGUAAGCCUGCGAAGGUGUGCUGUGAGGCAUGCUGGAGGUAUCAGAAGUGCGAAUGCUGACAUAAGUAACGAUAAAGCGGGUGAAAAGCCCGCUCGCCGGAAGACCAAGGGUUCCUGUCCAACGUUAAUCGGGGCAGGGUGAGUCGACCCCUAAGGCGAGGCCGAAAGGCGUAGUCGAUGGGAAACAGGUUAAUAUUCCUGUACUUGGUGUUACUGCGAAGGGGGGACGGAGAAGGCUAUGUCGGCCGGGCGACGGUUGUCCCGGUUUAAGCGUGUAGGCUGACUUUCCAGGCAAAUCCGGAAGGUUAAGGCUGAGGCGUGAUGACGAGGCACCACGGUGCUGAAGUGACAAAUGCCCUGCUUCCAGGAAAAGCCUCUAAGCAUCAGGUAACAUCAAAUCGUACCCCAAACCGACACAGGUGGUCAGGUAGAGAAUACCAAGGCGCUUGAGAGAACUCGGGUGAAGGAACUAGGCAAAAUGGUGCCGUAACUUCGGGAGAAGGCACGCUGACAUGUAGGUGAAGCCCCUGCGGGUGGAGCUGAAGUCAGUCGAAGAUACCAGCUGGCUGCAACUGUUUAUUAAAAACACAGCACUGUGCAAACACGAAAGUGGACGUAUACGGUGUGACGCCUGCCCGGUGCCGGAAGGUUAAUUGAUGGGGUUAUCGCAAGAGAAGCUCCUGAUCGAAGCCCCGGUAAACGGCGGCCGUAACUAUAACGGUCCUAAGGUAGCGAAAUUCCUUGUCGGGUAAGUUCCGACCUGCACGAAUGGCGUAAUGAUGGCCAGGCUGUCUCCACCCGAGACUCAGUGAAAUUGAACUCGCUGUGAAGAUGCAGUGUACCCGCGGCAAGACGGAAAGACCCCGUGAACCUUUACUACAGCUUGACACUGAACAUUGAGCCUUGAUGUGUAGGAUAGGUGGGAGGCUUUGAAGCGUGGACGCCAGUCUGCGUGGAGCCGACCUUGAAAUACCACCCUUUAAUGUUUGAUGUUCUAACCUGGCGCCGUGAUCCGGCGUGGGGACAGUGUCUGGUGGGUAGUUUGACUGGGGCGGUCUCCUCCCAAAGUGUAACGGAGGAGCACGAAGGUCAGCUAAUCCUGGUCGGACAUCAGGAGGUUAGUGCAAUGGCAUAAGCUGGCUUGACUGCGAGAGUGACGGCUCGAGCAGGUGCGAAAGCAGGUCAUAGUGAUCCGGUGGUUCUGUAUGGAAGGGCCAUCGCUCAACGGAUAAAAGGUACUCCGGGGAUAACAGGCUGAUACCGCCCAAGAGUUCAUAUCGACGGCGGUGUUUGGCACCUCGAUGUCGGCUCAUCACAUCCUGGGGCUGAAGUAGGUCCCAAGGGUAUGGCUGUUCGCCAUUUAAAGUGGUACGCGAGCUGGGUUUAGAACGUCGUGAGACAGUUCGGUCCCUAUCUGCCGUGGGCGCUGGAGAAUUGAGGGGGGCUGCUCCCAGUACGAGAGGACCGGAGUGGACGCAUCACUGGUGUUCGGGUUGUCAUGCCAAUGGCACUGCCCGGUAGCUAAAUGCGGAAGAGAUAAGUGCUGAAAGCAUCUAAGCACGAAACUUGCCCCGAGAUGAGUUCUCCCUGAGACUGUAAGUCUCCUGAAGGAACGUUGAAGACGACGACGUUGAUAGGCCGGGUGUGUAAGCGCAGCGAUGCGUUGAGCUAACCGGUACUAAUGAACCGUGAGGCUUAACCUUACAACGCCAAAGAAGU